rnacentral:rRNA from 1 species
AACGAACGCUGGCGGCAUGCCUAACACAUGCAAGUCGAACGAGACCUUCGGGUCUAGUGGCGCACGGGUGCGUAACGCGUGGGAACCUGCCCUUAGGUUCGGAAUAACUCCCCGAAAGGGGUGCUAAUACCGGAUAAUGUCUUCGGACCAAAGAUUUAUCGCCUUUGGAUGGGCCCGCGUUGGAUUAGCUAGUUGGUAGGGUAAAAGCCUACCAAGGCGACGAUCCAUAGCUGGUCUGAGAGGAUGAUCAGCCACACUGGGACGGAGACACGGCCCAGGCUAGUCAGGAGGGGGGAAGUGGGGAAUAUUGGACGAUGGGCGAAGGCCUAAUGCAGCAAUGCGGAGGAAGGGAUGAGGGCUUUAGGGUUGUAAAGCUUUUUUACACGGGAUGGUAAUGACAGUGGCGAGAGAAUAAGCGCCGAAUAACUCG